rnacentral:lncRNA from 1 species
GAUAUAUAUAUACACAUAUAUAUUAUAUAUAUAAUUUUUUAAAAAUACUUUAAAAAAAUUCUUGGCUAUAGGGACAUAGCAGAGUUUCCAUUUUUCAGCUUUUCUAUCAUAUAUUUCUUUAUGGUUAUCAAAUACAGGUAUGCCAUGGUUCUGGAAAACAGAGUAGAUAGGCAUAUCCCCUCUCCCAAUCAAUUUCAUUCUUUAUAUCAUUGCAGAACUUUUGUUAUACUUAAUCUUUUAUUAAUAUAUGAAUAAUUGUGUGUGUAUUUGUAUUUGCCUGCAUGUGUGUUUAAAUUAACCAUAGAUUUGCAAGGGUGAGUACCUUUAUCUAAGAAAGUUUAUGUUGAAGCAUUUUAUAUGUCUAUUUGAGGAAGUCUAACUAUUACUACCAUUAUAUAUAAAAUUAGGUCUAUGAUCAUGAUUUUAAAAGUUUAUAAAUAGAUGCUGAGCACCUAUUCUGUGUUAUGUAUUUCAUGAUUUGAAUUUAUAAAAGAUAAAUAUUAUCACCCUUAUUUUACAAGGGAAAUUAAAGCUCGGACUUGCCAGAGCUAAUGCAAUCAGUAAAAGCAAGAGCUGGAGUUUCUAACACGUCCUUUCACUUGGCCUCUUUAUCCCAGCAUUUGUAUAAAGAUUUAAAGUUUACCAAGUAUCCUAGCAUAAAAGAUCCCAAGCUCACUGUUGAAAUAAAAAUAUAAGUUCUGAAAUACUUAAAAAGCAAAUGAAUUUGAUGAUGUUUAUGGUCGCUCCAUACUUGAUGAUUUGACAAAAGAUAAAUGUGUGUUAUUUUACAUUUUAUAGAAUGGCUUUAUUUAAUAUAAGUGGCCUAUUGGGCAUGAGUGUUUCAAAUAUAUUCUUCUUUUUGCAAAUCAGAAUCAAGCACUAGAUGAUAUAUGGCUGAAAGAGAUUAGAAAAAGAGAUAUUAAGGAUUUCUUCUUGAUUCUUUGUUUUUUAAAAACUGACAAAUAUUUAUUUGCAUGUAUAAAUUUACAGGGGGACUGAAAUAGACUAGCAUUGCCUUUUUGACACCUUUUAGAGUUUCUUUAUUUCCUGUCAAAUACUUUAUCCCUCAGUUUCUCCCCCCAUAAUGAAAUAUCUUUAUAUUGGCUUGUUUAAUUUUAUUUUUUAAACUAUUACAAAAUUACUAAAAAUUUUCCUUGUAUACAAUGUAGUUUCAUCCCCACUCUCUGCAACAGAGUGGGAAAUUUGUUUUUUUUUUCCAGAUAAUUUUCCUUUUGCUUUGAGCUUCAAGGAUUUAAUGAUGAUAUAAUAAAUUUAUUAAUGUUGGAAGAAACAUUAAUUAUGUUUGCUUUUGGAAGCAAAGGUGCUUUAGAAACUCCUUCUUUCCAGUCUAGCCAUUCUAUCAGCUGCCUAGAAGUAGCUGGGUCAAGGGAGGGGAAUUCAAUCACAAAGUGCUCAGACACUCCAGAUUUUCAUUAUAAGUCAUACAUGUAAAAGGGAUGAGGGAUCCACUCCAAAGUCUAAUAAACCGAAUUCUUCUAAAUGAAUUGCAAGAUUUCAUACUUUUGGUGAUAAUAGCAAACAACUGUGCUUUCUUAGCAAUUCAUUCAAAUUAGUAGUAAUGAAAUAAACACACCAGGGGUAGAGUCUGCCUAUGGUCCUUUAUCGGAAGCUCAUCUUGUGUGGCUUUAACCUUUGUACUAUUGUUACCAAAAAUGUUUAACCUAAGUCUAAACAUUAGACAAUGACUAAAAUAAAUUUGGAUUGUAAGACAUUUAAAUAACCCACAUGGGUUCUUCAAAAAUUUCAAUGCAUAGAAGACAAAUGCAGAAGAGUCUGCUCUAGAUUAAAGGCAACCAAGUACAGUAUGUGACCCAUACUCCUUGAUUGGAUGCAGAUUCUUGUACCCAAAUAAGCUGGAGGACAUUAUCAAGAGAACUGGGGUAUUUUUACAUUUGGACUUUAUAAUAGGAAGUGCUAUUGUGGUGGUGUUACAUUUUUUAAGUGUGAUAAUGGCGUUGUGGUUCAUCUAGCAGAAUGCCCUUGCUCUUUGGAAGCACGCUGAAGUAUUUAGGGAUGAAAUGUCAUGAUGUUUGUAGUUUAAGUUCUAAAGGUUCAGCAUAAGAAAAUAUGUUUAUGUUGAAACAUGAUAUUGCCAAUAUACACCAAUUAUUGGCUGAGAUAGAAAAAACAAAUGUGUCAAAAAUGUUAAUAAUUAUUGAAUAAGUAAAGAAUAUAUAGGUGUUUGUUGUACUAUUUUAAAUUUUCUAUGGCUUUAGAAAUUUUCAAAUCAAACAGGGCUGGGAAGAUUGCAUUUAUUUCUUAAUGAGCUACAAAAAGAGUUUAUUUGAAACUGGCAUACUAUAUUCAAUGUACACAGUUAAUUUCUGCUACUCAAGCCAAAUAAAACCUUCUCAUUCUCAGUCACGGGGUUUAGUACUCAAAUUGUCCAAAUGAUUGCUUUAUAGAUUUAUGUCACUUUUAGAGAAAAUAGCACUUAUGGCUCAUUCAUCAGAAAUCCAUUUUGAAGUAUAUUUUGUAUCUUAAACCAUAGCAGUAUCCUUUGCUGAAUUAAUUGGGAUACAUUCUAUUAUCAUAGAAUUCAAGACUCCAAUGCUUCGAUUAGUUUAGCAAUAGCAAAUUUAAAUCAUAAUCUUACUUUAAAAUUUCGCAAACUAUUUUUUUUGUUGUUAAACUAUAUUUAUUAUGCAAGUCAACAUGUAAUAUCUUCCAGAUUAAUAUAAAAUGUAUUGAGAAAUGAUCAUUAUUUAAAUCAUCCAAUAUGGUUUUGCAUUUCUUAUUGUCUAAAAGACAUGGUUUUAAGUCCUGUUUAAGAAGUUUGCAUUGACUUCAGUGUGAGUUCUCUGCCUUGUAUUGCAGUGAAACGCAAGCUGUAAUGAAUAGGCCGUAAGCUCCAGUCUGCAGGACUUCAGAAGAUGCCCCUGUUGUAUGUAUCAGGUUGGGGAUUUGUUUUGUGGUGAUCACCCUUUCUGAUUUGAAGAUUGCAUGACAAGGAACUAUUAAAGUAAAGGGCAAAGAAUUCAAUUCCUUGAUGUCGCUUUUCUUGGACAGGCUUUAAAAAUAGGUCACUUAAUGUUAUCUGGAUUUGUGUAUUACACUAGCACCUGCUAACACUGCUAUACUUAAGGGUCUACCGGUGUAUUCAAUUUCAGGGUUUCUAGACUGGAUUCUGAUUCUCUAAAUCUAAAUAGGCUUCCAUUCAAAUGGUAGUGAGCAAGGUCUGUGGGAGGCUAUAUAUUUUUUGUACUAUACUGAGUUAAAAAUGAAUGUUUGCUUUAAUAUAUGCUGAGAGGUGAAAAAUGAAAAUGUGGGAUUAACAAAAUUAUCCUAACGUUGAAUAACUCACCAUUUGCAUUUUUUAAAAAAGUCUAUGAAUUGUGCAAUUAGAUAUCUACUUAAAGAUCCAUUAAAAUGGUAAUUACAAGUUUCUGUUAUAUUUUAAUCAUGAACAUAUUAAUGUGCUACCUUUUAGCUAUUGUUAAAUUUCACCUUUUAAAUGUGUUUAGAAUGGGCAAUUAUGCUUUAUUAUCAUGUACUAUUCUACUAAUAUAAAGAUAAUGUCACUAAUAUUGCAUAUAUAUGUACAUAUACACAUGUAGACACAGAUUUUAUAUACUAUCACUUCAUUCAAGAAAUAUAUUUUCUGACAUGUGUGUAAGUAAGUUUCUAAGUGAUAUGUAAUAAAAAUAGUAAUGAUUCUUUUCUCCAUAAAUAUUGAAAUUGAAUCGUCUUUAUUACUUAGUACUUACUAUCCCUGUCCUUCUUAAAGCUCUAUUUCAACAUAGUCCCAUUGCAGCUGUUUAUGCCAGUUCAGAAAUAUAUUUGAUAAAUGUUUUUAUUUUGUGGAUUUAUGACUAUUUAAAAAAAUCCAAAAGCUAACUAUAAAAGGUGACCAUUCUGUAUCAUAGAGCAAAAAUGCUGUACUGCCACUAGAAUCUUAUUAAAUACAAUAAAAACUGUCUUCUUGUUUGUCUGUUAGUAUUGUGUCAUAUAAAUUAGAAAGUAAGUAGUUACAUUGCCCUUUAGUAAUACACUGAUUUUUAGUGGUAAUUCUUAGAUUUCUACAAAGAUGUAGGCUAUCUAUUUAGAAAC